rnacentral:tRNA from 1 species
GCCCCUGUGAUGGAACUGGCAUACAUGGUGGUCUCAAAAACCAUUGCCGAAAGGCAUGUGGGUUCGAAUCCCACCGGGGGCA